GGGGGUGCAAUGGUUUCGACGGGGAUGUUGAAUCCCGAGCAGCGAGUAGUGUUGAGUACCACUUAAAUCGGCUCAAACUUUAAAUAUAAACGCUAACGAUUACGAAUUAGCAGCUGCCUAAAUUGCAGCGUGUCUCCUCCGAGAGUACCACGGCUCGGACUGAGGCAAAUAUCAGUGGUGAACGUGAGUUAAGGGGCGUCCUGACCUUUUCCAUGAUUUAAGGACUUACCGAUGAUAUAACUUUGGUUGUGGAGUGGUAUCAUCGGGAAUUAUAAUCACAACCUGCACUCGGAGAAGCUUGGGUGGAUAUGUUUUCGGACAGGAGUUCGAUUCUCCUCACCUCCACCA
rnacentral:tmRNA from 1 species